GUCGAUUGGAAUUAAAAGGGAAUCCCGGUGAAAAUCCGGAGCUGUACUCGCAGCUGUAAGUCCUAUUAAAGUUUAUCGCACUCUUUGCCACUGGUGAAAGCUGGGAAGGCGCGAUAAGCGGGAUGAGCCAGAAGACCUGCUUGAUGAGAUA
rnacentral:ncRNA from 1 species